rfam:Schistosoma mattheei strain Denwood, Zambia genome assembly, scaffold: SMTD_scaffold0005769
AUCCAACUGACCGGUCCCAAAUAGGAUGAAACGCGCGUCCUAGAU